UACGUAGGGGGCAAGCGUUGUCCGGAUUUAUUGGGCGUAAAGAGCGUGUAGGCGGCCUGGUAGGUCAGCUGUGAAAACUCGAGGCUCAACCUCGAGACGCCGGUUGAAACCAUCAGGCUAGAGUCCGGAAGAGGAGAGUAGAAUUCCCGGUGUAGCGGUGAAAUGCGCAGAUAUCGGGAAGAACACCCGUGGCUAAGGCGGCUCUCUAGUACGGUACUGACGCUGAGACGCGAAAGCGUGGGGAGCGAACAGG
rnacentral:rRNA from 1 species